AGCCCAGGACUAACUGGGGUCAGGUGACAGCCUGAUGAACACCUGGGGCUCAUAAAAGAGCAGUGAAUUCAGUUUGGAGGAGGAACCAUAGGGAGCAAGUUGAGUUCCUCUGGAAGGCCCUAAAACAGCAUUUAGGAGAGGCAAGGGAGUUUCAGGGAAGUAGCCUAGGAGUCAGGGCUCUAUCCUAGAGCGGAGAGACUGAAAGUAGCCUGGAAAGGGCUUGGAACUGAGCCCAGAGGGUGGGCUGCAGUGGAAUCCAAGCAGGGCAGCAGAGCUGUUUGUUUUGACUUUUGUUACCCCUGCCCACCCCCACCCCCCAGAGGGGGUGAGUUUCACUUAGUGACCUGGCUGGAGGCCUUGGCCAUGUUACCCAGCCCAACCUGUGUGGGGAAGGCUGAGGGCACCCGCCUUGGAGGAGGAAAUGGAGGCAGGGAGUGGCUGCAGCGUGAUGCUCGUCCAGCACGGACGGCUGUGGGGGCGGCUGUGCCUGUGACCUCCACCCCACCCUGCCUGAGACGCUUCUCUGAAGGCUAGCUGCGGCGGAGGAGAAGUGUUGCCUUCCGGAUACAGCCACUUCACACUGGUAAAUUAAUUAAAGAUCAAAAGGCAAGAGAAGCAUCUUUGCUAAGGUCCUUUGGAUGACUCCAAUUCCUGCACACAGGUGUCCAGCUCUACGCCUGGAGGGGUCCAACACAGUGAAAUUACGAGGCUCCGAGCAGCAAGAGACUGAAAAACAGCGAGUAUGUUUAAUAGGCAACCAAGGACCCGGCUGAGUUAGGUAUCUUUGUCAACAGACUUCUCCCCACGGCAACAAAGACUUGGCUGCCAAAAAAGUCACAACAAAUGAAGCGAGGGUGAUAUUUAUAGAGCUGCAGGAGACCAGGAAUAUGGGACCCAGGGAAAAGAACUGGGGUUUACAUUUGCUUUUUAAAAUCAGAUAGGAGGAAACUUAAACAUCCUGCAAAACGGCAUCUAUUAUUACAUCCAGGGGUUGGCUGCCAUUUAAAAUCAAGCCUGUUUUGAGUUGUGGGCCUAUGAUUCGAUCUUUGGGUGAGUUAAAGAGGGCUUCUAACACCCUUGAACUUUACUUCUUGUCCCAUUGACUUCAGAGGGCUUUGGAGCAACCCCUCAGGAACGUGUCUUUUGUCAUCCUGCCCUACAUAAGAAUACUAGGACAGAGCCUGGAGUGGAAGCUGGCGAGCCAGUUCCCCAUGGGAAAGCCCCCUCUGCUGUUUUGGGUGAUACACACAAAAGCACCAGAUUCCAAACUGAAGUAGUGACUAUUCCCCUUCAUAUGGCACUGCUGAAACAUGGGGAAAAUUUCCUUAAAGUGUCUCCACUGCAUGCCCCUCCAACACCUAGCACAAUGGGACCUGAACUGAGCUGGGGCCUCUUGGGGCUACCAUAAUAUUUAUACAGAAUGAGGAUACCUGUCCAAAGAAAUAAUUAUGUUGCCUGGCUGUGGUACUCACUUUCUUUAAAAAGAUGACCUCCCUCAGGAAUACCCAUCAGCCUGCAAAUCAAUCAAGACUUCAGUUGACUGGACCUGAUUCUCGUCUCACUUUGAGUGAUGCAGUUCAGAAUUAACUCCAUUGAAACUGGCCGUGACAGGAGAAUAGCAUCCACUGUUUUGGGCCAAUCACCCGUUUUUUCCCCGCAGUCCCAUCAUAGACAGGGUGUUUAAAUUGACUCCCAGUCGCUCUGUAUGUUGCAAAUAGCGAACUCCUGCUGCACAAGCAGAGCUUGG